rnacentral:rRNA from 1 species
AGAGUUUGAUCCUGGCUCAGGAUAAACGCUGGCGGCGCACAUAAGACAUGCAAGUCGAACGGAAGUCGUUGUAAUGAUGUUGACAGGAACAGAGAACUUGUUCAAAGGGAAUGAAGAUUGACUUACAACAAUGGCUUUAGUGGCGGACUGGUGAGUAACACGUAAGCAACCUGCCUGUUAGAGGGGAAUAACAACGAGAAAUCGUUGCUAAUACCGCAUAUGCCAUAAUGGAGACAUCUCCAUAGUGGGAAAGGAGCAAUCCGCUAACAGAUGGGCUUGCGUCUGAUUAGUUAGUUGGUGGGGUAACGGCCUACCAAGACGACGAUCAGUAGCCGGACUGAGAGGUUCAACGGCCACAUUGGGACUGAGAUACGGCCCAGACUCCUACGGGAGGCAGCAGUCGGGAAUAUUGCGCAAUGGAGGAAACUCUGACGCAGUGACGCCGCGUAUAGGAAGAAGGUUUUCGGAUUGUAAACUAUUGUCGAUAGGGAAGAAAAAAGACUGUACCUAUCAAGAAAGCUCCGGCUAACUACGUGCCAGCAGCCGCGGUAAUACGUAGGGAGCAAGCGUUAUCCGGAUUUAUUGGGCGUAAAGGGUGCGUAGACGGGAAAUUAAGUUAGUUGUGAAAUCCCUCGGCUCAACUGAGGAACUGCAACUAAAACUGGUUUUCUUGAGUGCAGGAGAGGAAAGUGGAAUUCCUAGUGUAGCGGUGAAAUGCGUAGAUAUUAGGAGGAACACCAGUGGCGAAGGCGACUUUCUGGACUGUAACUGACGUUGAGGCACGAAAGUGUGGGGAGCAAACAGGAUUAGAUACCCUGGUAGUCCACACUGUAAACGAUGGAUACUAGGUGUAGGGGGUAUUAAGCCUUCUGUGCCGUCGCAAACGCAGUAAGUAUCCCACCUGGGGAGUACGACCGCAAGGUUGAAACUCAAAGGAAUUGACGGGGGCCCGCACAAGCAGUGGAGUAUGUGGUUUAAUUCGAAGCAACGCGAAGAACCUUACCAGGGCUUGACAUAUACAGGAAUAACUAAGAGAUUAGUUAGUUCUUCGGAACCUGUAUACAGGUGGUGCAUGGUUGUCGUCAGCUCGUGUCGUGAGAUGUUGGGUUAAGUCCCGCAACGAGCGCAACCCCUGUUUCUAGUUGCCAGCAUGUAAAGAUGGGAACUCUAGAGAGACUGCCGUUGAUAAAACGGAGGAAGGUGGGGACGACGUCAAAUCAUCAUGCCCUUUAUGUCCUGGGCUACACACGUACUACAAUGGCUAUGACAGAGGGAAGCGAAAGGGUGAUCUGAAGCGAAACUCAAAAAAGUAGUCUCAGUUCGGAUUGCAGGCUGAAAUUCGCCUGCAUGAAGCCGGAAUUGCUAGUAAUGGCAGGUCAGCAUACUGCCGUGAAUACGUUCCCGGGCCUUGUACACACCGCCCGUCACACCAUGAGAGUUGGGAAUACCCGAAGCCUGUGAGCUAACUUUUUAAGAGGCAGCAGUCGAAGGCAGAAUCAAUGAUUGGGGUGAAGUCGUAACAAGGUAGCC